GCACUUCUGGCGUGCGCGGCGCCCCCGCUUCAUUUUCUGAUCAGUCAUUUGCCGUAGGAGAAGCCAUGGUACCAAGCCAUAAUGUCAUGAUCCUGAAGCCCCACUAUCAUAAGGACUGGCAGCAGCGAGUAGUCACAUGGUUUAACCAACCUGCCUGCAAGAUCCGUAGGAGAAAGGCCCACCAGGUGAAGGCUCACCGCAUCACUCCCCAUCCUGUGGGCUGGGCCUGUCCAGCCUAUAGUAAGGUACCCUACUAUAAAGUACCAUAAAAAGGUCCGUGCUGGCAGAGGCUUCAGCUUGGAUGAACUUAAAGUAAGUAUGGUGUGCUGAUCCCCAACCCAAUCAAAUUUACUGACUCGGAGCUUGGUUGUCUUGUCCUGUUUUUCUGUAUAUAGACCGUGUGCUGAGCUGUCAGUAUCUGGUGGCACUAGCUCAGCCAUGGGAGACCUGGGGGGUUGCUGCUCUACAGGGGUACAGAAAACACUGGUCUAGCCUUCUCUUUAACCAGGGAGUGGGGAUGCAGUGUAUAUCAGAGUGAAAGGUGGCUUUGAAUAAUAACCUUUUGUCUGGUCAGUCUGUUACUUAAAAUUCUGUUAAAAUUGGGUUCUGGAAGAGCUUUUGAGUCUCCUAAACUUUUUUUUGGUGGGGGGAGUGCCUGUGAUCCCAGGGAGGGGGGACAAUGCCCUCCAGAGCUGGGGCACCAGAUCCGUGUGCCAAGGUUGCCUGCACCAUGUAUGACUUCACUGGGAAACUUUGGCCAGGCUGGGCAUGCUGGGGCACAGGCAAGAGGGUGGCUCCCAGACCUUGCCCUAGCCAAGCAGCUCCUGGAGGUUGGGGCUGGGGCUGGCAUAGCUUCUCAAUGACCCAUCACUGCAGCAUCGUUUGGCUAUCACCAUCCUCCAGGUAGAGGGUGGCCUCUGUCCCCAGUGUAGGGGAAGUUGCCCCAUCACCCCAGGGUGCCACCAGCCCUGCUUGAGGCAACAGGACAUGGUCAGCACUACCAGAAUUGCCCAGCUGUACCGACAAGGAUGUGAUGUCUCCACUGCCUGCAGGGACCAGAGAAGAGUUUGUGCUCCCCAGCACCAAGACAGGUACCCUGGGGUGGGGGCCCAGGGCAGCCCCUACUCCUGCGCAGCCUCCCAGCCCCACUUGGGUGCUCUCUCCACAUGGGACUUAUCCUGCCCCUCAGUGGCACUGGGGCAAAGCUGGGCACGGCUCCACAGGACCCCUGCUUAGCCCAGGGGGCUGGUAAGUGAAUGAGGGCACAGCAGCACCCAUGGGGCAGGCUGGUGCUUGGAGGUACAGGGCAGCAUCUUGAGAGGAGACCCAGCUCCAGCUCACCCCACUGUGCUUUCAUGCCUUGCAGGGUCCCCAUGGAGCCACUGGGCCUGGAACCGGCCACCCCCCCCCAGGAGGGGGUCUCUGGGGUCCACUCUACCCACUGGAACUUCCCAUCCCAAUCCGCACCAGGGACCAGCCCAACCCCGCACACCUGGCAUUUCAGGGUGAUGUGCCCUAGUGUUGUGGUUGAAGCCCAGCUGGCAACCCAGAACCACACAGCUGCUCACUCACUCCCCCCUUUCCUCCCCCCUCUCCCGGAGGGAUGGAGAGGAGAAUCAAAAGUAUGUAAAGUGCACCCAUGUAAAGAAAUGUAAAGGAAGUUGAACGAACCUAUUACUUGCUAGCUGCAGCUGUAUAUUUAGCAUACUCAUGCAUAUUCAUAGAUUUCACAGGAACUAAUAAUAUUUGCAUUCUAAUUACACAUGUGUUUUCUUGCUGAGUGGGGGUUCUCUGGUGGUCAUCAAUAGACUUCCUCACUGUUUGCUGGAUGACCUCAGUGCUUGCACAUGCUCCCAAGGUCCUAGUGCUGAGUUAGCAGUUAUAUGUCCUUGUUUCUGUUCUGUUCCAGUCUCGCUCCACAUCACGUGCCACUCUGCUAUCUUGAAGGCUGGCAUCCUCGGUCUUAUUUAUUGCCUUCUUAGUUAUCAGUCCCCUGAUGUUCCUUCCACCAUCAGCUGAACAUUCCUUUCUCUACGUGUUAGCAAGUUAGAAGAGUUUGCUGUAUUUUACUAUGUUAAAGCCACACACACUAUUGUUUAGUUUAAACCUAUGAUUUAAGCCUAUAGGUGAGGUGCCUGAACCAUCCCUGCAAGCCUCACUGGCUGUCCUCUCCAAGGAGGAGCUGUGGGUGAGCUAUAAGCACCUCCUGAACCGCAACAUGCCCAACAAGUCCGACCCCUGCAUUCUGCUGCUGAUGCAGUCCCAAUGCCAAUGGAUGGAGGUAGGAAGGUGGGGGGCUCCACCUGAUACAGGGGUAACCAAUGUACAGGGGGGGUAAUACAGAGAAAUUGUAUAAGGGGGUUAAAGGAAGUCCCUUGCUUAAACAAAAGUAUUGUUUGUCGUAAAUACCUAACUGCCUACUAAACAAUACCAAGGCAUUGAGGGGGAGAAGUAGACUGAUAAGGGACAAAAGCAGAUGUGAGAAGCAGACUGGGCACCAACCAAACCCUAAGGCCAUGUGUGAAGAUUAAAAGGUGAAAAGUUUAAGAAGAGGAAGACUUAUUUACUUCA